UACGGGGGGGGUAAGCGUUGUUCGGAAUUACUGGGCGUAAAGGGCUCGUAGGCGGCCAACUAAGUCAUACGUGAAAUCCCUCAGCUUAACUGGGGAACUGCGUGUGAUACUGGAAGGCUUGAAUCCGGGAGAGGGAUGCGGAAUUCCAGGUGUAGCGGUGAAAUGCGUAGAGAUCCGGAGGAACACCAGCGGCGAAGGCGGCAUCCUGGACUGGUCCUGACACUCAUGAGCGAAAGCGUGGGGAGCGAGUCCGG
rnacentral:rRNA from 1 species